AAGGCUUUAGCUUAAUUAAAGCGUCUGGGUUGCAUUCAGAAGAUGUGGGGUAACAACCUGCAAGUUUUA
rnacentral:tRNA from 1 species